UACGUAGGGGGCAAGCGUUGUCCGGAAUCAUUGGGCGUAAAGCGCGCGUAGGCGGCCAGAUUAGUCCGGUGUGAAAGUCAGAGGCUCAACCUUUGAAUGCCGCUGGAAACUGUCUGGCUUGAGUCCGGAAGGGGCGAGUGGAAUUCCUGGUGUAGCGGUGAGAUGCGCAGAUAUCAGGAGGAACACCAAUGGCGAAGGCAGCUCGCUGGAACGGUACUGACGCUGAGGCGCGAAAGCGUGGGGAGCAAACAGG
rnacentral:rRNA from 1 species